rnacentral:hammerhead_ribozyme from 1 species
ACACUGCUGUGGAGUCCCAUACUAGGACGAAACGGCCGUCCAGUAC